AGGAAGGGAAGAAUCCUACCAGUAGCACCUACUACUACCAGGUGUUUUGAUGACAUUGAGGCAAGCUUUCAGUUUUACUGGACCAUAACUCUUGCAGCUGUGAUAAAAUGGAAGUAUAGGCAGGAGAGGAAAUCAAUGGCCUGCUUAAGAAAAUUAACCUUUGUCUGUGUUUCCAAGACAACACAGGUUCAGCUGCUAGAAAAUCAACCAAUCAAUCCUUGGGGCAGGACAUGAAAGGAACAACAUACCCUCAUGGCUGGAAGAAACCAAAGUCAGGUGCCUUCAGGAGGGGAUGGAAGGUCUGUCUCUGAGAUGUGGCUGCAUUUGGAUCCCAUGAUUUAUCAGUGGGAAGUAUACAGGAAACAAACACUCAAGAACAGUCCCUUUGUUGAGGCCAUCUACAAUACAGCUUCUAAAAUACAUUUAGGACAUUGCCUACUACUACUUAUUUAUCUGCAAAGAAGGUGCACCCCCUGCUUCUCGGGUUCCUGAGCCUGUGCUGGAAAAGUCACGCUGAGCAUCAUGGAGUGGCAUUACCA